CUUAAUUUCAAAAGUCACAUCCUCAAUUAAUCCAAAUUAAUUCUAAUUUCACUAGUUUACCACACUAACUCUAAUUUACCCUAUGCUCUUUUGUUGUUACCAUGGACACACUAUAGCUCCAACCCCCAUAUCCUUUUCCAGUGCCGCAUACCCAUCAGCUCUGUCGAUAGGUCUCCUCGGCGCUGCCUCUGCCUGCCACAUGCGCAGCCCGAGUUGCUCCGCCCACCCGCGAGGACGCCGUCGUCUUCAACACCACAACACAACCCCGCCGAUGCUACUACUCACAGAGGUCGACGCCGCCGAUGCUAGUUCACACGGAGGUUGAUGUUGUUGCGGGCGUCCUUCUCGUCUGAAGGCGUCGACGACGCAUUGCCUCCUCCAGGCUGCAACAACAACAACCUCUGUGUCCACGCCACUCCGCCACGUUUAGCCGCCGACCGUCGCACACUGCUCUCUGCAAUCAUCCCGGUGUUCUCCAAUUGUUCAUGUAAAGAGCAAUAACAUAUUGCUUGAUCAUGAGUUUAGGCCUCAUGUAGCAAAUUUUGGGCUUGCUAAGACCUUGUAGCGUGAGGCGGGUGACAGAGGUGCUGGUGUUGGUGCCGGUGCCAUGUCCAGGUUGCUGGAUCAUAUGAAUACAUUUCUCCGAGAGCAAAGUCAGAACUUGUAAAUGAUUGAUCACAUGGAAGCUUGUUCUAAUUUUCCGGGAGAUGCAUAGAUGGAGAAGAAACAAAAGCUUGUGCAGUAUAGAGAAUUCUUUUGAUAAGACCCUUGCCUCACCGGUUCUUACAAAUAAUUAGAUGCUAAAAAAACUUGUUGAAAGCCAACUUGUAUGUUCUUCGGAACGAAAAGUAGAAUGUCAUAACAUUCCCUUGUUUCCUUUGAUUUCAUUUAGGCAGAAAUUGUACUAGCUUAGUAGAUUCAUUAUUUUUAGUUAAAUUAUUCUAUUGUAGUUUCUUAAGAUGCUUUGUUUGAUUAAUUAGCAUACAAGGAGAAGUUGUUAGAAAUGAAGACGGCAAAGAUAUUUAAUUUUUUUGAUAUGUUAAAGAUGCUUCUCCAGAUGAUAUCUUUUUGCUUUUGUUAAA